UGUAUGCACAAAUGUCCCAAUCGCAAGAAAACACGCGGAUCCUGGAAGCGGGUCGGGUCAGUGCGCGGGUUGAAGCUCGGAACGGCGCCGUUUUGUAUUAUGAGGGCCUAAGUGAAACGGUGCCGUUUCACUAAGGCUAUUUAAAAAAAAUCAUUUCUUUCUCAAUUCAGGGAAAAAAAAAAGAAGUGGGGCUUUGAAAUUCUCUCCCCCUCUCAGUCUCCGACCUGGCUCCGGUCGUCGGACCACCGUCGUCGCCGUCGUGCCGGCCACCGUGUACCCCUAGGUAAAAUUUUCUCUUCUUUUUUAUUUAUUUAAUAUAUGUAUGUUAUUUUGUUAAAAAUGGGGUAAUAUGUUUAUUAGAAAUGGGGAUAAUCUGUAAAUAAAUUCGAAAAGAAAAAGGAAAAUAGACCUUAGAUUUUGUGGUUUUCGGUUCUCCAGUCUCUGAUAUGGGGCUAUUCCCUGCUCUUGAUGUUGUUAAAGUCUCUGCUUUUUUACUGGAAAUAGAACGUUGCUUGCUUUUUAUUUUCAUAAAAGUGCCCGAAUGAGUACAUGGUUUUUGGAUUUGGCUUUUAAACAGCCAUUAAAUUUCUUUGUUUUGCUGUAUGUCACUUCCCGUUUAAUGCUUGCAGGAGCGCAACUUGGACGACGGUGGGGCGAUGCUGCAGGCGUCGGUGGAUGGGACAGGGGUCAGAGGCUGAACGGCUAGGGUUUUAGGUUUUCUUUCAUUUUUCUUUUUCUAUUUUGUGUUUGGGCCAUGGGGGUUGUUUAGUGGGUAUUUAGGGGUUAGUGGGUUUUAUUUGAGCCCCAAAAUUGGGCUGUACAUUGGGUAUAUACGAAUAUCAUUCUAUUUAAAGAUUUUAGUGUUCUUAGAUUGCUUUGGUUGGCUAUUUAAAUAUAAAUUGAGAAUGCACAUAUAAUUCCUCAAUGGAUUGAUAUUAUUCUGAAUGAGUAAUUUUGUCUCUAGACUCCACUGAGAAUCUAAUGUCUAAAGAUAAUUUAAUUAGAUGAAAAUUUUGUUCUCAC
rnacentral:lncRNA from 1 species